rnacentral:misc_RNA from 1 species
CUGCAGUAAGGUUUGCCUUUGCUGCUGCUAUAUUUGGGGAACCCAUGGAAGCUCUUUUCUGGCUGCAAUUACCGCGAGCUCUAAACUACUGGAUGAAAAGAUUGACUAACAAGUCUCCAGCAAGAGUCCCUCAAUCAGCUUCCACGUCAGAACUUGAUGAAGUAUCUAUGUUAAAUAGGAUAUCAUCAAAGGGAAAGUCGGGGACCGAAACGGGGAAAAAUAAUUCUUUGGGAAAUGGUCAACUUCAGCUGAUGGCCUUUGAACAAGAAGAGUUGUGGGG